UACGGAGGGUGCAAGCGUUGUCCGGAUUUAUUGGGUUUAAAGGGUGCGUAGGCGGCUUUGUAAGUCAGUGGUGAAAUAUGGCAGCUCAACUGUCAGGGUGCCAUUGAUACUGCAGAGCUUGAGUACAGAUGAGGUAGGCGGAAUUGACGGUGUAGCGGUGAAAUGCUUAGAUAUCGUCAAGAACACCUAUAGCGAAGGCAGCUUACUAGGCUGUAACUGACGCUGAGGCACGAAAGUGUGGGGAUCAAACAGG
rnacentral:rRNA from 1 species